rnacentral:lncRNA from 1 species
GCUUGGGGGCGAGAGCGGAGGCGUUUUGGCUCUGCAUCAACGGCGCCUCCCUUAUGGUGAUACCGCCCAAAUCGAGCUGCUGCGGCUGCUGGGACUGCAGUUGCUGCAGUUGCUGCUGAUUCAGGUGCAGUUGCUGCGCGUGCUGCUGAUUCAUGUGGCGCUGCUGCAGGUGCUGCUGCAGGUGCUGCUGCAGGUGCGCGGGCAAAAUCGACCCGUGCGUGCCGCUGCCCACCGCCAUCGCCGCCGCGGCGCCC